UAGAAAGCAGGCCUAGCAAGCCAUGGGU
rnacentral:piRNA from 1 species